rnacentral:tRNA from 2 species
GCCGACUUAGCUCAGUGGUAGAGCACCCGUUUCACACGCGGGGGGUCAGAAGUUCGAAUCUUCUAGUCGGCACCA